rnacentral:rRNA from 1 species
AACGAACGCUGGCGGCGCGCCUAACACAUGCAAGUCGAACGAGAAGGCGUAGCAAUACGCUUGUAGAGUGGCGAACGGGCGAGUAAUACGUGGGUGACCUACCCUCGAGUGGGGAAUAACCCGCCGAAAGGCGGGCUAAUGCCGCGUACGCUUCCGUCCUCACGGGACGGAAGGAAAGCCGUACCGUGGGUACGGCGCUCAAGGAUGGGCUCACGUCCUAUCAGCUUGUUGGUAGGGUAACGGCCUACCAAGGCUACGACGGGUAGCUGGUCUGAGAGGACGAUCAGCCACACUGGCACUGCGACACGGGCCAGACUCCUACGGGAGGCAGCAGUGAGGAAUAUUGCGCAAUGGGCGAAAGCCUGACGCAGCGACGCCGCGUGGGGAUGAAGGUCUUCGGAUUGUAAACCCCUUUCGGGAGGGAAGAUGGGACGGGCAACCGUUCGGACGGUACCUCCAGAAGCAGCCACGGCGUAACUUCGUGCCAGCAGCAGCCGCCGUAACACCUGAGACUCC